UACGGAGGGGGGCUAGCGUUGUUCGGAAUUACUGGGCGUAAAGCGCACGUAGGCGGCUUUGCAAGUUAGAGGUGAAAGCCCAGGGCUUAACCCCUGGAAUUGCCUUUAAGACUGCAUCGCUAGAAUCGUGGAGAGGUAAGUGGAAUUCCGAGUGUAGAGGUGAAAUUCGUAGAUAUUCGGAAGAACACCAGUGGCGAAGGCGACUUACUGGACACGUAUUGACGCUGAGGUGCGAAAGCGUGGGGAGCAAACAGG
rnacentral:rRNA from 1 species